AAUAGAUACCCUGGUAGUCCACGCUGUAAACGGUGGGAACUAGGUGUGGGCAGCAUUCCACGUUGUCUGUGCCGUAGCUAACGCAUUAAGUUCCCCGCCUGGGGAGUACGGCCGCAAGGCUAAAACUCAAAGGAAUUGACAGGGGGCCCGCACAAGCGGCGGAGCAUGUGGCUUAACUCGACGCAACGCGAAGAACCUUACCAAGGCUUGACAUACGCCGGAAAACCAUGGAGACAUGGUCCCUCUUUGAGUCGGUGUACAGGUGGUGCAUGGCUGUCGUCAGCUCGUGUCGUGAGAUGUUGGGUUAAGUCCCGCAACGAGCGCAACCCUUAUCCUGUGUUGCCAGCAACUCUCUUCGGAGGGGUUGGGGACUCACGGGAGACUGCCGGGGUCAACUCGGAGGAAGGUGGGGACGACGUCAAGUCAUCAUGCCCCUUAUGUCUUGGGCUGCACACGUGCUACAAUGGCUGGUACAAUGAGCUGCGAUGCCGUGAGGUGGAGCGAAUCUCAAAAAGCCAGU
rnacentral:rRNA from 1 species